ensembl:lncRNA
GUCUGCCAUCUUCAACUUUCAGAGUCUACUGACUGUAAUCUUGCUGCUUAUAUGCACCUGUGCCUAUAUCAGAUCCUUGGCUCCCAGCUUACUGGACAAAAAUAAAACUGGACUGUUGGGAAUAUUCUGGAAAUGCGCCAGGAUUGGUGAACGGAAGAGCCCUUACGUGGCUGUGUGCUGUGUUGUGAUGGCCUUCAGCAUUCUGUUUGUACAGUAGCAACUGGAGAGUGUCCUCUACGCCCUUCUAGCAAACAUCAGAGCAUGGAAGAACUUCUGGCAGGGGAAGAUGGGAAAGGGUCAUCAAGUCUCCUCUCACACAUUGGAUAGCCUGCCUCUUAAUGGACACUCCCUCUCCUGCUAACAGACCAUCAUGUACAGUCUUAGUGAUCGUAAUGCAACUAACUCCAGCUUCCUGGGUUGCUGCCCUCCUUCUUUCCUAUACGAGCAAUGCUGGACGUUUGCAGCCCCUGCGCAGUUUGGGCCUGGAGCAAGCAGCCCAGCUUCCUCUCAGCUUCCCUGGCAUCUUUUAGCUCUCCAACAGCCUCCCGCAGCUCAGCCACCUGCUGCAGGAGGACCUCCACCAGGGCGCACCGAGUGCAGCCCUGUCCAUCGUGCACCCCCGCCUCACGAGACCAGUCGAAGCACUUUCUACACUCCGAGGUCUGUGCCGCAGCCUCCCCUCUCAUCGGCUCUGUCUGGGUGCCUACGCUGGCCACCGCCGGGGCAGAGCUCCCAGAGCGGGACCUGCUCCUGAGGCGAGUGCUCACCAUCCCGCUCGCCCUGCCUGCGCAAACUGCCGCGCCACGCCCUAGUCGCCCGCGCUCCUGGUCGCCCGCGCUCCCUGGGAUGGGUUUUUACCCGCUGGGGGCUGGUGCCGUCACUCCUGGCGCCGCCCCCUGUGAGUCAGCUGCUCGCGUCCUCUGAGCUGCCGGCUCCUGGGCAAGUCCUGUCGAGGUCUUGAGGCUCCCUCGGUCGCUCUUGCCGCUCCGAACUGAGGCUCCGGGACGCUGUGCUUCCCCCCGCUCCGGUGUUAAAGGCGUCCUCUCUGGAGAUACUCACCUCGGCAAUUAUUCCUUUCGUUUGCUGUUGGAGUGAAUAAGCUUACUAAGAUACCUUUGUUUUGUGCAUACACAUGAAAGAUGUGAUCCUAGCUUUUUACUGGUAUGGUUUAUUGCAAAAUAUAACUGAAUAUAUAGCAGACAUAUUGCUGUCUGCACUUGAAAAGAUCAUUAUUGAUAAAGCUGACAGUUGCUCAUGUGCCUGAUUCUCUGUUGUGCAGUCUCAUAUGGACAAUAAGCUUGCCUUGAUGUUCCAGAUUCAGAGUGUAUCUAAUCACCUGAUUCCUUUCUUUAUGUUCUGUGCUGGAAUUAUUUUCCUGUGCUACUGGUAAAAAGGAAAAAUUGUGCACACGUGAAAGUAAGAGCAUGUGUUAAAUCUCAGAAGACAACAUAAGUUCUAAACUAAGAAGGAAAUUAAAAAGUUAGUGUUCUCACACUGUAAUUCACUUUGCCUUGUUUCAGCCUCAUGCAUUUCUUUUGAGUUUAUUACAUUAGAAAUAGAUAAUCUCUUAAUGCUUUUUAGAUUAUGAUUAGUAGCUAACUGGAAUCUAUGAAAAUAAUAGUGAAGGUGUAUAAUGUAGGUACAGUGAGUAAAGAUAUUGUGCUCUCAUACUUAAACUGCAUGUUUAACUUCAAUUGUGACAAAUAAAUAGAACUAGUAUCAAAGUAUAUCACACAAUAGUUUUUAAAUAUGGGCAAGUUAACAUUGUUUUUGAAAUCUUCAUGUGGUGGUUAAAUAUUUCUUACAUUCAAUUUCCUAGUAAUUGUUAAGUACAAAACCCACAAAAUCUGUUUCUUAUUAGACUUGCAAAGUUUAUAUAUUCUCCUUAACCAGAUUCCAGUUUCAACUAUGUUGUACUGUAAUUUGGGAGGGAGAAGGGAAGAAUAAGUGUUCCUUGAGGAUUUUUUCUUCUUUUCUGUGGCUUUUUAUUCAUUUUAAUGUGUAAAUGAAAGAGACAAAGAGCCAAAGAAAGAGAGAAAGAACAAAAGAAUGAGAGAAGAAAGACGAGAUAGAAAAGGAGAAAGACAGAAG